AUGGCGACGCGUCGUCGACAUCGCAGCCUCGUCCGUUCCGCGAGGCGCGAGCUUAUAAAAUGGCUGCUGAGGAACUUCAUUUCAGCAAACGGUGCGUCCAUCUCAAAUCAGAAGCUAUCAAACCAACGAAGAAGAGCAGUAAAGCCGUGCUUAAUCGAGUGCAAGGUCCCGUCCGCAUCAUCUCAUCAAGGACCGAUGGCGUUUCUGGGAGGAUCAUUGAACGUGACGAGGAGCAUUGACAGCCGAAAGAGGAUGGACGGGAGGAAGAGCGGCGGCGGAUCGUGGCAGCAGGCGCCGGCGCCGGUGAGGCAGCUGUUCUGGUGGGUGAGGCGCGCCAUGCUUUGGCCGAAGCGCCGCGCCGUGAGCUUCGGGGACGGUGGAGGACGACGACCAUGGCACGAGAAGGUUCGUAGCAUCCAUCACAACAUCUGA
rnacentral:rRNA from 1 species